AUUAAACCCAGGACUCUUGGGAUGUUAUCCCAGGGAUGGCCCCUAGCCUAGAUGACAAGUAUAAGUGUUAAGGUCUGGGAUUUUACCCACCACCAAGGAAGACCCAUGGACAACGCAAUCAGGCAAAGAAAGGGCCGUUUAUUGAACUAAUGCGCACUACUGGGAACUCAGCCAAAAGAGUUCUGAGUUCCCUCCUGAAGAUUCAGUCUUAAAUACUUUUCAGCAUGAAUAACCCCCCUCCCUUCCUCAUUCCAGGCCAUUAUCUGUUGCAUGCUCUUGUUGGAAAGUUUCCGAGUUUUUUUGCACCUGGGACCUUCGUCCUGAAGUUUAUCUGUUAGUAGUUGGGACCUUGGACAGGUCCCAAAGAUUUAUCUGUCUGUGGCUUAGCAUUUCCCUUGACUGAAUAUCUCAAGGCUUGGGCAAUUUCCAACUCAGAUCUCCUUUACAAGGAGGAAAAGUAUUUGGGGAUCCUCUCUACCACAUGGGGGAAAUCUAGGAGCAUGGAAAGAUGAGUGACAUUGCUAUAGCUAAAAGGAAUUCCCUGACCGAAUACAAUCAAGCAUAAGAAAGGAAUGCUAGCAAAAGGCUAGGGUCUAAGAGAGUGGGGUGCUUAUAGUGGAUACUGAAGAAUAGUCCUCGCCAGGUGUGGAUCUUCUUGGGAAAGGGUCUCUUGAUAAAAUUGGGGAGACUAUCUAACUACGAUUGUCAUUCUCCCGAGGGUCCCUCGUCAGUCUGAAACUGCUCACCUCGGAUUCCCUCAGGAAGGAUUCCCAUGGGAACAGGGAAGAAGUACAAACUUUGGGGUCUUCAACCUACAAGCUCCUCCGUAAAUCUGGGCUUCACCAGAUCCCACUAGGCCACAAGUUUGGGAUUUCUAGAUUCCAUGUUGACACACCUUAUUGCCGAUGCUGUGAAUACAUCCACUGCAUCAAAUCAGGAAACAGUAGAAUCUGUAUUUGCCAAUGGUGGUCUGUUAAUGUAGAUACAGUAUCGUUUUUUUUUUUUUUUUGCUGGAAGCAGAAUUGCUUGCACUUUGACCGUGAUGAAAAUCAUAGCCCAGACUUGUAAAAUCCCAUGUGAUUCAUUGUCUGUUGGUUAUCUGGUUAUUUGCUGAACAGCUGUAAAAAUUAAAGGACAGCAAGAUGUAGAAAGUGUUCUAUUGAUGGACAGCACCGUGAAUCCUAUCUUGCAAAGACAGAGUUAAAAUUUUAGAACACUCUUUUGCUCUCACACCAAUCUCGCCAUUCCCGAGUCUGUGGUAAUAUCAAAGGACCAUGGCCUUCCCGGUUUUUCUAUUGUCAACCUGGAAUCAAGAAAACCCAAACUUGGGGCCUAGACGUAUCUGGUGUAGCCUGGAUUUCCGGAGGAGCUAAUAGAUUGGAGACUCCAAAGUUUGUACUUGUUCCCUGAUCCCGUGAGAAUCCAGAGAGAUAGAGACAGACAGAUAGAAAGACCGAUAGGCAGGCCGACUGGCAGAUGGGUAGUGAGAUAGGUAGGAGGGCAGAUAGAUGGAUAUAGAGAUAGCACAUAGAGAGACACGUAGUCAAACACAGAAAGAGAGAUAGACAGGCAGGCAGACAGACAGAUCGAGAGAUAAAUAGAUAGGAACAUAGAACAAAAAGACAUAGAAACAGAAACAGAAUGUGAGAUCGAGACAUUGAAAGAUUAAUAGAACUACAGGAUGAGGGAAGGUGAAAGAAAGGGACAGACAGAGACAGAUAGAUGGAAGGGCAUAUAGAGGGAAAAUGGAAUCGAGAGACAGAGAGAGACACAGAAAGUCAGGCAUAUCGAUAGACAUGUAGACAGGGAUACACAAAUAUCUCUCUCUAUCUGUCUCUCUGUCUCUCUAUGUACCUUUCUAUCUCUCUGUCUGUUGAUCUGUCUUUCUAUCUAUCUAUCUAUCUAUCUAUCUAUCUAUCUAUCUAUCUAUCUAUCUAUCGAUGUAUCUAUCGAUCUAUCUAUGUCUUUGUGUUCCUAUUGGUGUAGUUUAUGUAUCUAUCUGCCUGCUUGUUUUUGCAUGGAUCACACUGUGUGUAUGUCAUUUGUGUGUUUUAAAGUAUUGUAACAUCCUGGGGAACUACAACUCCCAAUGUGACCUAGUGGUAACAUCCCUUUGAGUCCUGGCUUGGGAUUGGUCUUGCAUUGGACCAAUCCUGUGUUGGGGGAUGGACUUUGUCUAUGGUCCCUCCUUAGCAUGGGAUUGGUCCAUCUCAAAACCAAUCCCAUGAAAAGGAACUGGGCAUCAUCUCUUACCUAGCAGGGGAUUGGUCAAAUUCAAGGCCAAUCCUUCUCAGGAAAUAAGAGGGAGGGAAACUUGUAGUAUGCUGGGAGAUAUAGUCCAGUAGGCCACAACCAUUGAAUACCCACCUGAUCUCUCCAUGUAGAAGGAGACAUAGACAGGUAGACUGACCCACAGAUUAUUUGAUCUGUUAUUCUGUCUAUUCGCCUACUGGUUCUUGUGUCUGUCAGCCUGUCUGUGUUUCUUUUGUGGGUUUUCAAGUGUAGUGACAGGCUCGGGAACUACAAGCCCCAUUGUGCCCCAGGGAUCUGUACCUUUUGAGUCCUGGCUUGGGAUUGGUCCGGAAUUCGAUCAAUCCUGUCGUCGGGGAGGGACAAUACCCAUGGCUCCUCCUUAGCCCAGAAUUGGUCCAUCUCUUUAGCAAUCACGCACAGUAAAGUAGGGAGCAUCAUUCCUCACCAAGCCUAGGAUUAGUGCAAUUCAAGACCAAUCCCAACCAGGAAAGAUGGGGGAGGGACCCCUGGAGCACACUGGGAAAUGCAGUUCUUCAGGCGACAACCUAAGAAGAGCAAAACUAUAUCUUGCUCUAUAUCCAUGUAGACUGAGAGAUGCUCAAGAGGACCGACAGACAGGACGACUGACAGACAUAAGGCUUGGUUUAUCUGUUUCUCUGUCUUACUGCAUUCCUGUCUAUGUACCUGUCAGUCUGUCUAUCUGUCUGUUCAUCAGUCCUCUCUGGGUAUCUGUUUCUAUAUAAGUAAAUAUGUGUGUUUCUGCCUAUGUAUGCAUCUGUUUAUCUCUCUCGAUCUCCAGUGUCUGUCAAUCUGUCUGUCCAUUGGUCUGUCCCUCUAUGGAAUUCAUCAAUCAGUCGAUCUUUCCCAUUCUUCUUCUCAGCUGUCCACCCUAGAAAAUCAGAACAAGUGGUUGCUGGCAAGCAAAGCAUAUGAUGGUGUCCCUGUGAUGUUCAGGUGGCUCAGAAGAUGUAUUUGGUUCAAGAUUGGAGGGGGAGUGGCAGACCUCUACUUUGGCCAGUGAGCUGUCCACCCUAGAAAAUCAGAACAAGUGGUUGCUGGCAAGCAAAGCAUAUGAUGGUGUCCCUGUGAUGUUCAGGUGGCUCAGAAGAUGUAUUUGGUUCAAGAUUGGAGGGGGAGUGGCAGACCUCUACUUUGGCCAGUGAGGUGAGUGGCUGUGGCAGACUGCAUGAUGCGUCCAAACCCUUUUUCUUUGACUCUUCCAUGAGGCGCUGGAAGUCUUGAAUAGGAAAGCAAGGAAUCAAUAGCUCAGAGGCUAAGCUCUGAGCAUUACUUCAUAGGGAUCUUAACCUGUUGUCCUGACAUUUCCCAAAAAGGAGCAUUUACUAAAGAAGAAUGGCAUUUGCUCGGGCAGGCUAUGAAACAAAGUGAGGCAAAAGGACAUAGAGUGUUAGCCGCCAUUGAGGUCCCAUGCACUCUAGUGAGGAUACUGCACAAACUGUGGAGAGUUGAGCUGUUCCUCACCUGCAGCCCCACCUUUCACUGCUUCUACUCACUCUUCUUUACCCUUUGAAUCAGAUGACCAAGGAGAUAGACCCCUUCCUUUAUGCUGCAGAUGCCAAGAACCAGCCCCAUGGCCUGGGGCAAGCCUCCUGCCCAAAUCCCUUGUUUCUGUCCUCACUGCUGUCAAAUGAUAGCUAAACCCCAGCAUGGAGGCAUGCUGUCCUCCCAAGGAGCAGAUUUUGCUGGCAAGCUCUCCCACCUUGGCUCCCUCCUGACCACAGUCAACAUGACUUUCACAUCAAUAAAAUGUCCCCUUUUCUUUUGAAGCCAUGUUUCAGAGUCUUGCAUUCUUACGAUGAUAUAACUCCGAGCUCCAGUGGAGCAUCUAUGAACCCCACAACAAUCAUUCCAGGUGCCAUUCAACAAAAUGAUGUCGUCUCCUCAGGGAGAAAACUGACACCUGAGACCAAGGAAGAAAUGCAAAAUCUUGAAACAGCUGGAGACCAGAAACUAAGUCUGGAGAAUUGAUCCUUCUCAAACUGUUCUAGCCAGCCUUUUAUUGAUUUCUUUAUUCAGAAAUUGUCUUCUUACAUUGCUUUUCAGAUUUUAUUUAGUCAGUUUAGCACAUUAUUUCUCCUCGGUGACAAGAAUCAUAUUCUUUCAAUCCUUCCCCUGCCCUACCCUUCCCAUAGUCGAGGGGAAUUCCACUGGGUAUGACAUGUGUCCUUCAGGAGAACCUCUUUUCUAGUUGUUGAUGUUUGCACUAGGAUGUUCAUUUAGAGUCUAUAUCCCCAGCCUUAACCCCCUGGACCCUUGUAAUCUAGCAGUUGUUUUUCUUGGGUGUUUCUACUCCCACAGUUUUCCUUGUGAAUGUGGAUAGUGUUGUUUCUCAUCGAUUCUGCCGGGUGAUUUAGGAUGAUUGCAUUGACACUAAUGAAGAAGUCCAUUCCAUUCCAUUCCAUUGUACCACGGUGCAUCCAUCUCUAUGUACAAUGUUCUCCUGGUUCUACUUCUCUCACUCUGCAUCCAUUCCUGGAGGUCUUUCCAGUUCCUGUGGAAUUCCACCAGUUUAUUAUUCCUUUGAGGUCUAUACUAUUUCAGCACCCAGAGGUACCCCAAUUUGUUCAGCCAUUCCCCAGUUGAAGGGUAUCCCCUCCUUUUCCAAUUUUUGGCCACUCCAAAGAGAGCAGCUAUCAAUAUUCUUGGUCAAGCCUUUGUCCUUAUUAUGGGUAUGUGGUAGAAACCCUGCAGUGCUAUGGCUGGAUCAAAAGGCAGACCAUUUUGUAGCACCCUCUGGGCAGAGUUCCAAAUUGCCCUCCAGAAUGGUUGGAUCAAUUCACCACUCCAGCAACAAUGCCUUCACAUCCAGACUUUGCCUCAUCCCCUCAAGCAUUCAUUAUAUUCCCUUGCUGUCAUGUUAGCCAAUCUGUGUAGCCUCCAUUUUCAAGAGGAGACACAUUCUCAUUGAUACUUUGCAUCAGAGUUACACCAUUAUUGGAUAGAUUCAAACUUUGAAACACCAGGCAGAGCCACCUAUUAGUUGUUCGGGAUUGGCAGAGGUACUGCUUACUCAAAUGACAAAAAGGGGUCCCAGUACUGAUGUUCGUCUAAACCCAAUAGCAGGAAUGCAAGUUGCAACAUUCCAUUCACUGUAUCGGUCUUGGCCAUUAAAUUUUUCAAAUGUGCUAGGUAAAAUGGAGAAUCCUCUUCCUAGUGCUGGAAUCUUUCAAACUGUGAAUUUCUCUAUAAUUGUUCUUUCAAAAGUAACAUCCUUGAACCUGUUAACUUGGAAAUAAUGCCGAGCUAUCAAUUAGUCAUAAAAACCCAAGUCUUUAACCACAAUUUCACCUUUAAAACAAUAUUGAAAUUCAAAUUUAAAAGUUUUACACACACACACACACACACAUACACGGUAAUCUGAAAAAAUUAACCCUAACUCUUUGAAAACAAAUACCAGCUUGAUAAAAAUGUGAAAUGACUGCAUACAAAUAAACAUGUUAAUACCUCGAGGAAAAUGCCUCUUAUUAGCAAUACUCAAUAUUGCCUGCACUUGAUAUACACGAUUUCACACAUUACUCCUACCAAAAGGUGGGAAGAAAAUAUUAGACUGUAAAGUCAAGAAUUUCUGGUCUUCCUUUGGUCUUCUGCUCUAUAAUCCCCAGUACAGAUGACCAGCUCCUGCCCUUGUCUCUAGAUUUUCAGAGGAAUGAACUGUUGUAAUACAUCUUGAUAGACAUUAUUUGCUAACGUUUCUAUCACCUGCAAGUAGAAGAAAUCCAUUAGACAUACGGUAUAGCCCAAACCGCACGGAACAUUGAGAGGAAACGGAGAACUCAAGUUCUUCAGCUUCCUUGAGAAGCUCUUUCAUACAUCAAAUUUGAUAACUCUUUAGACCCUAAGCCCUGACGUUUAAAUUCAUGCAGAAACUUUAUCUAUUAUAGUAGCCUUAAAGCAGUUACUCAGAUGCAGUAGUGAACACUCUGGCUCUCACACUCCAACUCAAGCUUCCCAUUCAACGCUUUCAGCCAAACAUACAUGCAUGUCACCUAGACUCUCCUCGCUCUUCCUUCUACUAGAAAUACUAUUUCACUCACAUACACAGAUACCAACAGUCAGUCACACACAAACUUUAGUCAGUUAUGGAGCAUGUGUUCAGGUUGUCCCGGGCUCCAUUUUGGCCGACUUACCUUGGAACCAGAUUUGGUUGAUAUUCCACACUUUUUUACUUAUUGUAUUCUUUACUCAGAGUCUGGUGCCAGGACUUUUACAGGGUAUAAACCCAGGACUCUGGGGAUGUUAUCCCAGGGAUGGCCCCUAGCCUAGAUGACAUGUGUAAGUGUUAAGGUCCGGGAUUUCACCCACCACCAAGGAAGACCCAUGGACAACGCAAUCAGGCAAAGAAAGGGCCCUUUAUUGAACUAAUGCGCACUAGUGGGAACUCAGCCAAAUGAGUUCUGAGUUCCCUCCUGAAGAUUCAGUCUUAAAUACUUUUCAGCAUGAAUAACCCCCCUCCCUUCCUCAUUCCAGGCCAUUAUCUGUUGCAUGCUCUUGUUGGAAAGUUUCCGAGUUUUUUUGCACCUGGGACCUUCGUCCUGAAGUUUAUCUGUUAGUAGUUGGGACCUUGGACAGGUCCCAAAGAUUUAUCUGUCUGUGGCUUAGCAUUUCCCUUGACUGAAUAUCUCAAGGCUUGGGCAAUUUCCAACUCAGAUCUCCUUUACAAGGAGGAAAAGUAUUUGGGGAUCCUCUCUACCACAUGGGGGAAAUCUAGGAGCAUGGAAAGAUGAGUGACAUUGCUAUAGCUAAAAGGAAUUCCCUGACCGAAUACAAUCAAGCAUAAGAAAGGAAUGCUAGCAAAAGGCUAGGGUCUAAGAGAGUGGGGUGCUUAUAGUGGAUACUGAAGAAUAGUCCUCGCCAGGUGUGGAUCUUCUUGGGAAAGGGUCUCUUGAUAAAAUUGGGGAGACUAUCUAACUACGAUUGUCAUUCUCCCGAGGGUCCCUCUUCAGUCUGAAACUGCUCACCUCGGAUUCCCUCAGGGAGGAUUCCCAUGGGAACAGGGAAGAAGUACAAACUUUGGGGUCUUCAACCUACAAGCUCCUCCGUAAAUCUGGGCUUCACCAGAUCCCACUAGGCCACAAGUUUGGGAUUUCUAGAUUCCAUGUUGACACACCUUAUUGCCGAUGCUGUGAAUACAUCCACUGCAUCAAAUCAGGAAACAGUAGAAUCUGUAUUUGCCAAUGGUGGUCUGUUAAUGUAGAUACAGUAUCGUUUUUUUUUUUUUUGCUGGAAGCAGAAUUGCUUGCACUUUGACCGUGAUGAAAAUCAUAGCACAGACUUGUAAAAUCCCACGUGAUUCAUUGUCUGUUGUUUAUCUGGUUAUUUGUUGAACAGCUGUAAAAAUUAAAGGACAGCAAGAUGUAGAAAGUGUUCUAUUGAUGGACAGCACCGUGAAUCCUAUCUUGCAAAGACAGAGUUAAAAUUUUAGAACACUCUUUUGCUCUCACACCAAUCUCGUCAUUCCCGAGUCUGUGGUAAUAUCAAAGGACCAUGGCCUUCCCGGUUUUUCUAUUGUCAACCUGGAAUCAAGGAACCCCAAACUUGUGGCCUAGACGUAUCUGGUGUAGCCUGGAUUUCCGGAGGAGCUAAUAGAUUGGAGACUCCAAAGUUUGUACUUGUUCCCUGAUCCCGUGAGAAUCCAGAGAGAUAGAGACAGACAGAUAGAAAGACCGAUAGGCAGGCCGACUGGCAGAUGGGUAGUGAGAUAGGUAGGAGGGCAGAUAGAUGGAUAUAGAGAUAGCACAUAGAGAGACACGUAGUCAAACACAGAAAGAGAGAUAGACAGGCAGGCAGACAGACAGAUCGAGAGAUAAAUAGAUAGGAACAUAGAACAAAAAGACAUAGAAACAGAAACAGAAUGUGAGAUCGAGACAUUGAAAGAUUAAUAGAACUACAGGAUGAGGGAAGGUGAAACAAAGGGACAGACAGAGACAGAUAGAUGGAAGGGCAUAUAGAGGGAAAAUGGAAUCGAGAGACAGAGAGAGACACAGAAAGUCAGGCAUAUCGAUAGACAGGUAGACAGGGAUACACAAAUAUCUCUCUCUAUCUGUCUCUCUGUCUCUCUAUGUACCUUUCUAUCUCUCUGUCUGUUGAUCUGUCUUUCUAUCUAUCUAUCUAUCUAUCUAUCUAUCUAUCUAUCUAUCUAUCUAUCUAUCUAUCGAUGUAUCUAUCGAUCUAUCUAUGUCUUUGUGUUCCUAUCGGUGUAGUUUAUGUAUCUUUCUGCCUGCUUGUUUUUGCAUGGAUCACACUGUGUGUAUGUCAUUUGUGUGUUUUAAAGUAUUGUGACAUCCUGGGGAACUACAACUCCCAAUGUGACCUAGUGGUAACAUCCCUUUGAGUCCUGGCUUGGGAUUGGUCUUGCAUUGGACCAAUCCUGUGUUGGGGGAUGGACUUUGUCUAUGGUCCCUCCUUAGCAUGGGAUUGGUCCAUCUCAAAACCAAUCCCAUGAAAAGGAACUGGGCAUCAUCUCUUACCCAGCAGGGGAUUGGUCAAAUUCAAGGCCAAUCCUUCUCAGGAAAUAAGAGGGAGGGAACCUUGUAGUAUGCUGGGAGAUAUAGUCCAGUAGGCCACAACCAUUGAAUACCCACCUGAUCUCUCCAUGUAGAAGGAGACAUAGACAGGUAGACUGACCCACAGAUUAUUUGAUCUGUUAUUCUGUCUAUUCGCCUACUGGUUCUUGUGUCUGUCAGCCUGUCUGUGUUUCUUUUGUGGGUUUUCAAGUGUAGUGACAGGCUCGGGAACUACAAGCCCCAUUGUGCCCCAGGGAUCUGUACCUUUUGAGUCCUGGCUUGGGAUUGGUCCGGAAUUCGAUCAAUCCUGUCGUCGGGGAGGGACAAUACCCAUGGCCCCUCCUUAGCCCAGAAUUGGUCCAUCUCUUUAGCAAUCACGCACAGUAAAGUAGGGAGCAUCAUUCCUCACCAAGCCUAGGAUUAGUGCAAUUCAAGACCAAUCCCAACCAGGAAAGAUGGGGGAGGGACCCCUGGAGCACACUGGGAAAUGCAGUUCUUCAGGCGACAACCUAAGAAGAGCAAAACUAUAUCUUGCUCUAUAUCCAUGUAGACUGAGAGAUGGACAAGGGGACCGACAGACAGGACGACUGACAGACAUAAGGCUUGGUUUAUCUGUUUCUCUGUCUUACUGCAUUCCUGUCUAUGUACCUGUCAGUCUGUCUAUCUGUCUGUUCAUCAGUCCUCUCUGGGUAUCUGUCUCUAUAUAAGUAAGUAUGUGUGUUUCUGUCUAUGUAUGCAUCUGUUUAUCUCUCGAUCUCCAGUGUCUGUCAAUCUGUCUGUCCAUUGGUCUGUCCCUCUAUGGAAUUCAUCAAUCAGUCGAUCUUUCCCAUUCUUCUUCUCAGCUGUCCACCCUAGAAAAUCAGAACAAGUGGUUGCUGGCAAGCAAAGCAUAUGAUGGUGUCCCUGUGAUGUUCAGGUGGCUCAGAAGAUGUAUUUGGUUCAAGAUUGGAGGGGGAGUGGCAGACCUCUACUUUGGCCAGUGAGCUGUCCACCCUAGAAAAUCAGAACAAGUGGUUGCUGGCAAGCAAAGCAUAUGAUGGUGUCCCUGUGAUGUUCAGGUGGCUCAGAAGAUGUAUUUGGUUCAAGAUUGGAGGGGGAGUGGCAGACCUCUACUUUGGCCAGUGAGCUGUCCACCCUAGAAAAUCAGAACAAGUGGUUGCUGGCAAGCAAAGCAUAUGAUGGUGUCCCUGUGAUGUUCAGGUGGCUCAGAAGAUGUAUUUGGUUCAAGAUUGGAGGGGGAGUGGCAGACCUCUACUUUGGCCAGUGAGCUGUCCACCCUAGAAAAUCAGAACAAGUGGUUGCUGGCAAGCAAAGCAUAUGAUGGUGUCCCUGUGAUGUUCAGGUGGCUCAGAAGAUGUAUUUGGUUCAAGAUUGGAGGGGGAGUGGCAGACCUCUACUUUGGCCAGUGAGCUGUCCACCCUAGAAAAUCAGAACAAGUGGUUGCUGGCAAGCAAAGCAUAUGAUGGUGUCCCUGUGAUGUUCAGGUGGCUCAGAAGAUGUAUUUGGUUCAAGAUUGGAGGGGGAGUGGCAGACCUCUACUUUGGCCAGUGAGCUGUCCACCCUAGAAAAUCAGAACAAGUGGUUGCUGGCAAGCAAAGCAUAUGAUGGUGUCCCUGUGAUGUUCAGGUGGCUCAGAAGAUGUAUUUGGUUCAAGAUUGGAGGGGGAGUGGCAGACCUCUACUUUGGCCAGUGAGGCUCCAUCAUUUCUUUCCUAACGUCUUCACCCAGCACUCUGGAAUCUUUGCUGUGACUUCUCCAAUGGACAGAUGUUCCGUUCCAUCCUCCUAACGAGGCUUCGUCAUUUCUUUCCUAACUUCUUCUGAUUCGACUUUGAGACAACUCAGCACUCUGGAAUCUUUGCUGGAACUUCUCCAAUGAACAGAUGUUCCUUUCCAUCCUCUUAACAAGAUUCCGUAUCUUGGGGGCUCCUUCAGAUUUCUCCCAAGAUGUCUCUUUGAGCAGUUCGUCGGAUUCUGGGCUGCAGGAAAAUCUGGUCCAUGUUUUUGGCUCCUAAUAAAAGUCUUGAGGUUUCUACCCAAACAUAUCGGAAUAAGUGGUUGCAGGCAAGCAAAGCAUAUGAUGGUGCCCCUGUGGUUUUCAGAUGGCUCAGCAGAUGUAUUUGGUUCAAGAUUGGAGGGGGAGUGGCAGACAUACAGUUUGGCCAGUGAGGCUCCAUCAUUUCUUUCCUAAUGUCUUCUGAUUCGACUUUGAGACAACCCAGCACUCUGGAAUCUUUCCUGCAACUUCUCCAAUGAACUGAUGUUCCGUUCCAUCCUCUUAACAAGUGUCCACGCAAGAAUAUCGGAAUAAUUGGUUGCUGGCAAACAAAGCAUAUGAUGGUGUCCCUGUGAUGUUCAGGUGGUGUAGAUGUAUUUGGUUCAAGAUUGGAGGGGGAGUGGCAGACCUCCACUUUGGCCAGUGAGGCUUCGUCAUUUCAUUCCUAACGUCUUCUGAUUCGACUUUGAGACAACCCAGGACUCUGGAAUCUUUGCUGCAACUUCUCCAAUGAACUGAUGUUCCUUUCCAUCCUCUUAACAAGAUUCCGUAUCUUGGGGGCUCCUUCAGAUUUCUCCCAAGAUGUCUCCUUGAGCAGUUCGUCAGAUUCUGGGCUGCAGGAAAAUCUGGUCCAUGUUUUUGGCUCCUAAUAAAAGUCUUGAGUGCCUUCCUAUCUAUGGAUCUGUCAGUCAAAGUGUCUAUCUGCCCAUCAGUCCUCUCUGGGUCUCUAUCUCUACAUAGGUGUCCACUCUAGAAAAUCAGGAUAACUGAUUCCAGACAAGCAAAGCAUGUGAUGGUGCCCCAGUUGGGUUCAGAUGGCUCAGAAGAUGUAUUUGGUUCAAGAUUGGAGGGGGAGUGGCAGACCUCCACUUUGGCCAGUGAGGCUUCGUCAUUUCUUUCCUAACUUCUUCUGAUUCGACUUUGAGACAACCCAGCACUGUGGAAUCUUUGCUGCAACUUCUCCAAUGGACAGAUGUUCCUUUCCAUCCUCUUAACAAGAUUCCAUAUCGUGGGGGCUCCUUCAGAUUUCUCCUGAAGAUGUCUCCUUGAGCAGUUCGUCAGAUUCUGGGCUGCAGGAAAAUCUGGUCCAUGUUUUUGGCUCCUAAUAAACGUCUUGAGGUUUCCACCCAAACAUAUCGGAAUAAGUGGGUGAAGGCAAGCAAAGCAUAUGAUGAUGCCCCUGUGGUUUUCAGAUGGCUCAGCAGAUGUAUUUGGUUCAAGAUUGGAGGGGGCGUGGCAGACGUACACUUUGGCCAGUGAGGUGUCCACUCUAGAAAAUCAGGAUAACUGAUUCCAGACAAGCAAAGCAUGUGAUGGUGUCCCAGUUGGGUUCAGAUGGCUCAGAAGAUGUAUUUGGUUCAAGAUUGGAGGGGGAGUGGCAGACCUCCACUUUGGCCAGUGAGGUGUCCACGCAAGAAUAUCGAAUAAUUGGUUGCUGGCAAACAAAGCAUAUGAUGGUGUCCCUGUGAUGUUCAGGUGGCUCAGAAGAUGUAUUUGGUUUAAGAUUGGAGGGGGAGUGGCAGACCUCUACUUUGGCCAGUGAGGCUCCAUCAUUUCUUUCCUAACGUCUUCUGAUUCGACUUUGAGACAACCCAGCACUCUGGAAUCUUUGCUGUGACUUCUCCAAUGGACAGAUGUUCUGUUCCAUCCUCUUAACGAGGCUUCAUGAUUUCUUUCCUAUCGUCUUCUGAUUCAACUUUGGGACAACCCAGCACUCUGGAAUCUUUGCUGCAACUUCUCCAAUGGACAGAUGUUCCUUUCCAUCCUCUUAACAAGCUGUCCACCCUAGAAAAUCGGAACAAGUGGUUGCUGGCAAGCAAAGCAUAUGAUGGUGUCCUGGUUGUGUUCAGAUGGCUCAGAAGAUGUAUUUGGUUCAAGAUUGGAUGGGGAGUGGCAGACCUCCACUUUGGCCAGUGAGGUAUCCACCCUAGAAAAUCGAAAUAAGUGGUUGCAGGCAAGCAAAGCAUGUGAUGGUGACCCGGUUGUGUUCAGAUGGCUCAGAAAAUACAUUUUGUUCAAGAUUGGAUGGGGAGUGGCAGACGUCCACUAUGGCCAGUGAGGUAUCCACCCUAGAAAAUCAGAACAAGUGGUUGCUGGCAAGCAAAGCAUGUGAUGGUGCCCCAGUUGGGUUCAGAUGGCUCAGAAGAUGUAUUUGGUUCAAGAUUGGAUGGGGAGUGGCAGACCUCCACUUUGGCCAGUGAGCUGUCCACCCUAGAAAAUCAGAACAAGUGGUUGCUGGCAAGCAAAGCAUACGAUGGUGUCCCUGUGAUGUUCAGGUGGCUCAGAAGAUGUAUUUGGUUCAAGAUUGGAGGGGGGAGUGGCAGACCUCUACUUUGGCCAGUGAGCUGUCCACCCUAGAAAAUCAGAACAAGUGGUUGCUGGCAAGCAAAGCAUAUGAUGGUGUCCCUGUGAUGUUCAGGUGGCUCAGAAGAUGUAUUUGGUUCAAGAUUGGAGGGGGAGUGGCAGACCUCUACUUUGGCCAGUGAGCUGUCCACCCUAGAAAAUCGGAACAAGUGGUUGCUGGCAAGCAAAGCAUAUGAUGGUGUCCUGGUUGUGUUCAGAUGGCUCAGAAGAUGUAUUUGGUUCAAGAUUGGAGGGGGAGUGGCAGACCUCCACUUUGGCCAGUGAGGUAUCCACCCUAGAAAAUCGGAACAAGUGGUUGCAGGCAAGCAAAGCAUAUGAUGGUGUCCCUGUGAUGUUCAGGAUUGAUCAGAAGAUGUAUUUGGUUCAAGAUUGGAGGGGGAGUGGCAGACCUCCACUUUGGCCAGUGAGGCUACAUCAUUUCAUUUCUAACAUCUUCUGAUUCGACUUUGAGACAACCCAGAACUCUGGAAUUUUUGCUGCAUCUUCUCCAAUGGACAGAUGUUCCUUUCCAUUCUCUUAACAAGGUGUCCAACCUAGAAAAUAGGAAUACCUGGUUGUAGGCAAGCAAAGCAUAUGAUGGUACCCCUGUGGUGUUCAGGAUUGAUCAGAAGAUGUAUUUGGUUCAAGAUUGGAGGGGGAGUGGCAGACCUCUACUUUGGCCAGUGAGCUGUCCACCCUAGAAAAUCGGAACAAGUGGUUGCUGGCAAGCAAAGCAUAUGAUGGUGUCCCUGUGAUGUUCAGGUGCCUCAGAAGAUGUAUUUGGUUCAAGAUUGGAGGGGGAGUGGCAGACCUCUACUUUGGCCAGUGAGCUGUCCACCCUAGAAAAUCAAAAUAAGUGGUUGCUGGCAAGCAAAGCAUGUGAUGGUGACCCGGUUGUGUUCAGAUGGCUCAGAAGAUGUAUUUGGUUCAAGAUUGGAGGAGGAGUGGCAGACCUCCACUUUGGCCAGUGAGGUGAGUGGCUGUGGCAGACUGCAUGAUGCGUCCAAACCCUUCUGAUCAGACUGACCCUGAGGUGCUGGAAGUCUUGAAUAGGAAAUCAAGGAAUCAAGAUCUCAGAGGCUAAGCUCUGCGCCUUACUUACAGGGAUCUUAACCUGUUGUCCUGACGUUUCCCAACAAGGAGCAUUUACUAAACAAAAAUGGCAUUUCCUCGGGCAGACUAUGAAACAAAGUGAGUCAAAAUGACACAGAAUGUUUACCGCCAUUGAGAUUCCAUGCAAUCUAGUGAGGAUACUGCACAAACUGUGGAGAGAUGAGCUGUUACUCAGCUGCAGUCCCCACCUUUCACUGCUUCUACUCAGGCUUCUUACCCCUUUGAAUGAGAUGCCCAAGAGAAACACCCCUUCUUUAAUGCUGCAGAUAUCAAGAACUAGCCCCAUGGCCUGGGGCAAACCUCCUGCCCGAACCCCUUCUUUCUGUGCCCUGUCCUCACCUCUGUUAAAUGAUAGCUAAACCUCAGCAUUGAGACAUGCCUGUUUGUCCAUCUAUCAGCCUGUGUGUCUGACUUUUGUGCUUUUUAACCUGUUGAAGCCUGGGUAAAUACAACCCACAGUGUGCACCAGCAGGACCAUCCGUUUGAGUCCUUGUUUGGGAUUGGUCUUGAAUUGGACCCAUUCCAUGAUAGAGGAGGGACAAUGGCCAUGAACUCUCCUUAGCACGGAAUUAAUACUUUUCAAGACCAAUCCCAGUAAAGGAAAUAUUGGACAUCAUUCCCUCGACUAGCAUAGAACUGGUCCAAUUCAAGACAAAUCCCUCCCCGGAAAUAAGGAGUAAGGGCCCCUGGAGCAUGCUGGGAGAUGCAGUCUCCCAAGCCACAAUACUUGAAAAGCCAUACUAUCUCUAUGUAUCUAUGAAAACGGAGAGAUAGACAACUGGACAGACAGAAGGACUGACAGAGAGAUUAGUUGCUAUGUUAUUCUGUCUAUCUGCGUGCUGUUUGGUGCAUCUGUCUGUCUAUCUUUUGAGGGUUUUCAAGUGUUGUGACCUCCUGGGGAACUACAACCCCCAGUGUGCUCCAGGAGUCCCACCCCUUUGAGUCCUGCCUUGGAGUGCUCCCGAAUUCGACCAAUCCCGAGUUACGAGAGGGACAAAGCGAAUGGCCUCUCCUGAGCCCAGGAUUGAUCCAUUUAUAAGCCAAUCACACACAACAGUAGCGAGGAAUAUCCCUAUCCCUGCCUCGGUCCAAUUCAAGACCAAUCCCUCCCAGGAAAUGAGAUGGAGGGACUGCUGGAGAACACUGCAGUGUGCAGUUCCUCAGGGCACAAGGCUACAAAACACAUUCUAUCUCUAGCUCUAUAUCCAUAUAGACUGAGAGAUGGCCAAGGGGACAGACAGACAGGAGGACUGACAGACAGAGACCUUCGUCAAAGGUCAAUGGCAUUCCCGGUUUCCCUAUUGUC